CCAUUAUCACCACCACCUUCGUCACCACCUCAAUAACCACCAUUAUAUCACCGCCAUCAUCAUUAUAAUUUCCUUAUCUAUCUUUUUUCCCUUAUAGGUAGUGGAGUGACACCUAAACCAGCAUCUAACGUAUCACUGUCGUGUUACGAAUGUAGUCCUGAGGGAAUGGGUCCAAACGGUACGGGUACUCCUUUGAUCAGCUGCAGCGCACCAAAACAAAAAAAAUGCGGUGAGAUUGCUCCAGGUAUGCCAUUUGACCGUUGUAUGACUGUCAAGAUAUCAGUCAAGAACCCAAUGACAGGGGCCCUUAUUGAACAAGAAUCCAGAAACUGUUCAGUGUCUUCGAUGUGUUCUGGCAACAUGCUCUGUAACAGCAUGAACAGCACAGGAGCUAUCACUAAAUGUAAUGUUCAGUGCUGUGAAGGUAGUCUAUGUAACACGGGCGUGCCUCAGACAACUACUGUCCCUUACGGCGGGAAUCAGACAACUACUGGCCCUUCUCCAUCCGGUCCUAAAGGGGGUCAGACACCUUUAGCUGUUUCUGGCAUAUUAACCUUCAUUAACAUCUUUAUGGCUUUGAUUUUCAAGUAGAUCUGCCGUCAUUGACUGUAUCGUAUCUAAGCUUCUAUUAAUUAAUGUAGUUAGAAUCAAACGUAGGGGAAUUAGGGUCCAACUAUAGAUGAAACACCUUUGUGACUUAGGGUUCUACUAUAGGUGAAACACCUUUAUGACUUAGGGUCCUACUAUAGGUGAAACAUCUUUGUGACUUAGGGUCCUACUAUAGGUGAAACAUCUUUGUGACUUAGGGUCCUACUAUAGGUGAAACAUCCUUGUGACUUAGGGUCCUAUUGUAGGUGAAACACCUUUGUGACUUAGGGUCCUAUUAUAGAUGAAACACCUUGGUGACUUAGGGUCCUAUUAUAGGUGAAACACCUUUGUGACUUAGGGUCCUAUUAUAGGUGAAACACCUUUGUGACUUAGGGUCCUACUAUAGGUGAAACAUCUUUGUGACUUAGGGUCCUAUUAUAGAUGAAACACCUUUGUGACUUAGGGUCCUAUUAUAGGUGAAACACCUUGGUGACUUAGGGUCCUAUAACACCACCUUUGAAUAUUUCUGGCAUAUUAGCCACCAACAGCAUCGUCAUGGCUUUACUUGUCAUACUGAUUUUCCAUCACUGUAGCGUAUCCAAGCAUCUAUUGAUGUAUGUAGUUAGAAUGGAACGUAAGAUACCAUCUUACUAUAAACUAUAAACGUCUACCGUGGUUCUGGUAACUUUUCAAGUAUGUAGUUGUGUAGUUAGAAUUUAACGUAAGGGACCAUCCUACUAUAGGUGGAUGUUUCUGGAAACUUUUGAAGUAGAUCUGCCAUCUUUGACUGUAGUGUAUCUAAAUGUCUACUGAUUUAUGUAAUUCAGAAAGCCUACGUGGAAAUGAUUUUCAAAUUCGGAUUAGAAUUAUCUAAAAAUUAUUGCACCGUCAAUUAAAUGGAUGACAAUAAAAUAGCAGUGAUUAGCAGAGAAUAGAAGUGUUUAAUAGGUUAUUACAAGAAGCUUGUAAGAUGUAUUCCUUGAGACAGUAUUAGAAAUAAACUGAUUUUUGUGUGUGUAAA